rnacentral:rRNA from 1 species
GAUGAACGCUAGCGGCAGGCCUAAUACAUGCAAGCCGAACGGCAAGUCUUUUAGCAAUAGAAGACCUAGAGUGGCGUAAGGGUGCGUAACACGUAUGCAAUCUGCCCUCAACAGGAGGAUAGCUCCCCGAAAGGGGAAUUAAGCCUCCAUAGGAUCGUAAUGUGGCAUCACAUAGCGAUUAAACUACCAGGGGUUGAGGAUGAGCAUGCGCAUGAUUAGUUAGUUGGCGGGGUAACGGCCCACCAAGACGAUGAUCAUUAGGGGAACUGAGAGGUUGAUCCCCCACACUGGCACUGAGAUACGGGCCAGACUCCUACGGGAGGCAGCAGUAGGGAAUAUUGGACAAUGGGUGCAAGCCUGAUCCAGCCAUGCCGCGUGCAGGAAGACGGC